rnacentral:rRNA from 1 species
GACGAACGCUGGCGGCGUGCUUAACACAUGCAAGUCGAACGGUAAGGCCCUUCGGGGGUACACGAGUGGCGAACGGGUGAGUAACACGUGGGUGAUCUGCCCUGCACUUCGGGAUAAGCCUGGGAAACUGGGUCUAAUAUCGGAUAGGACCACUGCCUGCAUGGGUGGCGGUGGAAAGCUUUUGCGGUGUGGGAUGGGCCCGCGGGCUAUCAGCUUGUUGGUGGGGUGAUGGCCUACCACGGCGGCGACGGGUAGCCGGCCUGAGAGGGUGACCGGCCACACUGGGACUGAGAUAGGGCCCAGACUCCUACGGGAGGCAGCAGUGGGGAAUAUUGCACAAUGGGCGCAAGCCUAGUGCAGCGACGCCGCGUGAGGGAUGACGGCCUUCGGGUUGUAAACCUCUUUCAGCACCGACGAAGCGCAAGUGACGGUAGGUGCAGAAGAAGGACCGGCCAACUACGUGCCAGCCGCCGCGGUAA